rnacentral:pre_miRNA from 1 species
AGCUAGAAACUUUGCCUGGAAAUUUACUCGAUUGCAAAGUCUCAGUCAUUGUUUCUGGUCGU